UACCGCAUGGUACAGCAUUAAAGGAGUAAUCCGCUUGAGAUGGACCCGCGUCGCAUCUAGCUAGUCUGGUGAGGUAACGGCUCACCAAGGCGACGAUGCGUAGCCGACCUGAGAGGGUGAUCGGCCACAUCUGGGACUGAGACACGGCCCAGACUCCUACGGGAGGCAGCAGUGGGGAAUAUUGCACAAUGGGGGAAACCCUGAUGCAGCAACGCCGCGUGAGUGAUGACGGUCUUCGGAUUGUAAAGCUCUGUCUUUAGGGACGAUAAUGACGGUACCUAAGGAGGAAGCCACGGCUAACUACGUGCCAGCAGCCGCGGUAAUACGUAGGUGGCAAGCGUUGUCCGGAUUUACUGGGCGUAAAGGGAGCGUAGGUGGAUAUUUAAGUGGGAUGUGAAAUACUCGGGCUUAACCUGGGUGCUGCAUUCCAAACUGGAUAUCUAGAGUGCAGGAGAGGAAAGGAGAAUCCUAGUGUAGCGGUGAAAUGCGUAGAAUUAAGAAAAAA
rnacentral:rRNA from 1 species